AUCCAGGGAAAUAAAAUUACACGUUAAUACAGUUUAGUAGAACUGCUGUGAAACUUUGGGAAGGCUGGGUCAGAUCCUGUGCUCUGAAUGUGGCUUACAAGGGGGGGUUAGAAAUAACAAGGUCACUUUUGACUAAUCUUUUAGCAUUUUUUUACUGCAUCGGUCUCUCAUCCUUCACUGUUAUUUCAGAGUGUGCAUGUACAGCUAUGUCACUUUCAGCACAGAUCUCUGAGAAUAUGAAUCGGUACUGUUUUCCUCCUUUGAACGAAACAGAGCCUUGAUGAAACCUGUGGUAGAUACCAACCUUGGGCAAUGAUUUAAUAUUUACACCUGCAGCAGCGCCACUUUCGGAAAGGGAAAAUAAAGCUGGCCAGAAGAGGAAUAAAAAUGCAAGGCAAACAACACAAAGGACUUGCAUCAUGCCUUAAGAGCUACCUAAGCUUUGAAAGACAUAGGAAGGGGUUGAACAAAGGGUUCGUGUUGCUCAUUUGGAAUUCCAGAAAGAAAA